GCCCGCCUAGCUCAAUCGGAUAGAGCGUCAGACUCUUAUGAUGUCAUUCAUGAGUUUGUCAAUCUGAAGGCUGCGAGUUCGACCCUCGCGGUGGGCU